rnacentral:rRNA from 1 species
GACGAACGCUGGCGGCGUGCUUAACACAUGCAAGUCGAACGGAAAGGCCCUGCUUUUGUGGGGUGCUCGAGUGGCGAACGGGUGAGUAACACGUGAGUAACCUGCCCUUGACUUUGGGAUAACUUCAGGAAACUGGGGCUAAUACCGGAUAGGAGCUCCUGCUGCAUGGUGGGGGUUGGAAAGUUUCGGCGGUUGGGGAUGGACUCGCGGCUUACCAGCUUGUUGGUGGGGUAGUGGCUUACCAAGGCUUUGACGGGUAGCCGGCCUGAGAGGGUGAACGGCCACAUUGGGACUGAGAUACGGCCCAGACUCCUACGGGAGGCAGCAGUGGGGAAUAUUGCACAAUGGGCGGAAGCCUGAUGCAGCAACGCCGCGUGCGGGAUGACGGCCUUCGGGUUGUAAACCGCUUUCGCCUGUGACGAAGCGUGAGUGACGGUAAUGGGUAAAGAAGCACCGGCUAACUACGUG